GGUAUAGAUAUGUAGAUGUAGAUGCAUAGGAAAGAUAUCUUGUGGUUUGUAUUAUAUAAAUUGUAUAUCAGCGUCGUGUUUUUUCCUCUUUCGGUAACAGUUGGUGCGAGAGACCUGAAGCUUCCUUUGCAAAAUGAAAACCCUAUGGUCGAUGACAGUGGCAUGAGUAACUUGGUAACAAUUGGCAAAGCAGCUACUUUGACUAGUGCAAGUGAUUUUAAGGGGAGUUUGAAAAAUAUGGAAAAGAGCAAAGGCAAUCAUAAUGGAUCAGCGAAUCCAAAUGUUAGAAGGAAAGCAUUGGCUGAUGUCACUAAUGUCGCAGUCAACAUUUACAAAAAUGCAAAGCAUGAUGGUUCCAAACCAAUGAAGGCUAAAGCUGACAGAAGUAUGUUUUUGCAAAGGCCUUCACUGGGUCCAGGUGCUAGGACUGUUAAUGCUGCAUCAAGAAAAUCAUUCAUGGGAACAGCAAAAGUAAAUCUUUGUCAGGGUGCCGGUGACAUGCACACAUCAGAGAGAGGUAUUAAAGAUACAAAGGCCUCUUCUUGUUAUCAAAGGUCACAGGCCAGAAUUUCAAGCCAAGAAUCUUUUGUUAACAUCAGGAGAACUGCCAGGAGUUCACUUAUACCAACGAGGAAGUCUUUGCCUGUGUUAAAGAGGGUAAAUCAAGGGGAUGCAAAUGACUCAAAGGGAUGUGCUCAAAACUCAGGAGAAGCCAAAGAAAUGAGCAAUGCUCCAGUUAAGGCUAAAUUUGGCAAGAAUGUUGCACCACGGGUGAACAAUGGUAGAAGCCAUCUUCGGAGGAACCGAGCAAGUGAUGGGUUCAUGAUAAUGGGCCCUACAGCUAGUGCGGAUGCAUGUGUUUUGUCAAGAAAAUCUGUAAAGCCAAUUGUGAAGACCACACUCAGAGUUUCCAAUACCCGAAGGGCUUCGAAAUCCAAAUGUUCAUCAGCUCUGAUUAAGUCAAGAUCUGUGGUUUCAAUCUCAUCCAAGAAGAAAGAAGUUGCUUCAUCUUUUCAUCUGGAGAGAACUGCAUUAGAGGCUUCAGAUGAAGCCACCCAAGCACAGCCUAUAUCUGAUGGCAUUCACAACUCAAAUACAGAUUCCACUUCCAAGAAAAAAUCAAACCGUAGGAGGUCCUACACUUCUUUAUUGAUGGCGAAAUCAAAGAUGCUAGAAGAACUUGGUGAGGCCAUGAAGCAAGAAAAGCUACCAGACAUCGAUGAUGGCUGCAAUCCACUGGAAGUAGCUGAAUAUGUUGAUGAAAUUUAUCAGUACUACUGGGUUGCUGAGGCACAGCAUCCAUGUCUGGCAGAUUACAUGUCGAUUCAGACAUCCAUUACACCUCAUAUGCGGGGCAUAUUGAUCAACUGGCUAAUCGAAGUACACUUCAAAUUUGAUUUAAUGCAAGAAACACUUUACCUCAUGGUCACGUUGUUGGACCAAUAUCUCUCACAGGUCAAUAUUGAGAAAAAUGAGAUGCAGUUGGUUGGUCUUACUUCCCUCUUGUUGGCAUCGAAGUAUGAGGACUUUUGGCACCCAAGGGUUAAAGAUUUAAUUAGUGUAUCAGCUGAGUCAUACACAAGAAACCAAGUGCUUGACAUGUCAAAUCUUACAUGCUGAAUUUGCUUCUCGGGAAAAGCUUAUGCUUAGAAAGUUGAAGUUUUGUCUGAAUGCACCUACUCCAUACGUCUUCAUGCUAAGGUUUCUCAAGGCUGCCCAAUUGGAUAAAAAGCAUUAUCAAAAGCUUGAACAUCUGGCAUUUUACCUCAUCGAGCUGUGCUUAGUUGAAUGCGAAGCUUUGAAGCUCAAGCCUUCACAAUUAUGUGCAUCAGCUCUCUAUGUUGCUCGUUGUACUUUGCAAAUGACUCCAGCUUGGACCCCGCUGCUACUCAAGCACGCACGCUAUGAUGUGUCCCAAUUUAGGGACUGUGCGGAGAUGAUUUUAAGAUUCCAAAAAUCUGCAAGAUCAGGACAGUUGAAGGUCACCUAUGAGAAGUACAUGAGAUCUGAUCUGAGUGGUGUUGCAGCUAUAAAACCAUUAGUUGUGUGAAUGGGUUUUAUACAAGUUGUGUUUAUAUUUCCGCUGAAUGGGUUUGUGUGAAUUUAUAUUUCGUUGUAUAUAAGUUGCUUGUUAUACUAAAAAAGCAAAGUGAGCAAGUGAAGAUCAUGUUAGGAUGCAACCUUUUCGGUGUCGACCCCUGGUGAUUUUAGAAUAUAUAGAGGGGAUUCUCCACGAAGUAGGGUAAGAAAAAAAUGCUUGUUUUCUGCUUCUACUGGUGUUAUCUGAUUGUUAUUUGUACAAGCAAGUCUCCACAAAGUGAUUUUAGAUUUGUGUAUGUUGCAUGAAGGUGCUAUGAACUCAUAGCAUUUAUUACUAAAACUUUGUAUUAAUUCAAUGUAUAUCAUUGCUUGUUAGUAA